rnacentral:rRNA from 1 species
UACGUAGGGUGCAAGCGUUAAUCGGAAUACUGGGCGUAAAGCGUGCGCAGGCGGUGAUGUAAGACCGAUGUGAAAUCCCCGGGCUUAACCUGGGAACUGCAUUGGUGACUGCAUUGCUAGAGUAUGGCAGGAGGGGGGUGGAAUUCCACGUGUAGCAGUGAAAUGACGUGAGAGAUGUGGAGGAACGACCGAUGGCGCAAGGCAGCCCCCCUGAGCCAAUA